CUCCCUCAGACGUCGCACAUAAACAAACUGCGUUACAACUUAACAUUCGCAACAUCACAGACGCGACACAGGCUGCUCCUCGUACGGGGAGCUGUUAUUCCGCACGAUACCUUAGACGAGUAGGAAGCCAGCAAGAGGAAAAAGAAAACUUUUUUGCGGCCGUUUCUUGUUGCUUGCCAAUAUUAUUUUAUUAUUUUAUUUUUUUGAGAUUUCUCGAUACAAACAGGAUAUUUUUAUACUAAGUUGAUAUCACAUGUAAAGACGGAACCGCCACAGCAAACCAUGUGCGGGACGAUGCAAGGUGACCAGGUUUGUUUUCCAAUCAGCCAGCCCGCCCUCGGCUCAGAGCGGCCACACAUGUCACCCACACUCAGCACUGGCGGACCAGGCUUCUCUCCCAUUCAUUCAACGUUUCACAUUAGUAAAUUAUUUCGACUAAAUGGUAAAUUGCGUUCGAUACCACCCACUUCCCCACACAUUCAUUUUUUCAAAAUUGUUCCCAUAAACACAUCCACAUAUGUGGCUUUUAUUGGUUGAUCGUUUU
ensembl:lncRNA